GAUCAUGUGGUCAGGUUUGAUCUUCCUGUUGCUUUAUGCAAGCCUCUCAUGCAGAUGACUUGUGCAUGCGCCCGGGCACAGAUUCUGCUCAAGUUUGUGAGGAAAGGUACCUGAGAUAAGGUGCCAGGUCUUUGGUGAUCCGAUGUAGGCAAUCAUUGACACCUCUCAUGGAAGAACCAGGCUUUGCUAGAUCGGAUCUGCCAGGCAGAGGAUUUUUAGGGAUUACAUGGAGAGGGUGACUUAAAACCUGGAGACCUGAGGUAUCGAUAGGGGUUUUGCCAGGGAUUUGCAGUUUAACCCUGAGCAGUUACUUACCUCUUGUCCUGCAGAGUGGGAGCACCACAGGGUAGAAGCUAACAUGCCCAGAGGUUCUGCUGGACACCCAGACUCCUCCGCUGGAGCCUGUAACGAGAGGAGGGUGCUUGGUGGCUUGUCUAAGUCAUUUAGUUUACCCAUUGCUGCUUAAAAUAGCAGCAAGUCAGCAUGACGCAUGCUCUGCUCUGCUGUGGCCCACAUAACAUAUGUUGAUGUACAAGCUGUGAGCCCUCCGUUCCUCUUCCCCAGCAGGGCCAGCAGAAACCACCUUCCUUCUUGCGUUGCUGUCGUGCCCGACCCUCGUGUUCCACCAGCGCAGGUGGAGUGUGUGGUGACGUGGUGGAGAUGACGGACCCAGGAGCUUCUGAAGCACACCAUUUCAGAGAGUUUCAAUUUACAGAAGAAAUGAAUGCACAUCAGCUUUCCCUUCUGAAGAGGUUGAACUGCUCACUUGAGAGGCGAAUGCACAUCUCACUUCAACACGCAUGACUGUGGCCAGUUUCUGGUGACCAGUGAACCAAGAUGGACCAAUAAUUCUUUUCAGAAUUACAGAACACUCAUAAGAUUUUUUUGACGUUGCUCAGGUGCUAACAUUUGGGCUGGGGAGAAGGAUUGGUUUCUACAUGUCUGAAGGCUUUUCCUCUUCAGGAUUUUGUUUUUCAACUGGAUCAACAGACCAGUCUGGCACUGCACCUAACCCUGUGAUGACUGGUAGCCACACGAGAGAGCUGAUGGCAAGCUACAUUAAUUGCCCCCAGCAAAACCUUGUUACUUCUCCCCGAAAUCUGACGUCCCAAGGGACAGAGGAAGAACUCCACUCCUCUAAAAGGCAUCCACCAAAGACUACAUCAAAGAAAGGAGAUUUUUAAAGGAGCCAGUAGGAAACACUGAGCAGAAUUAUUUCGAUCUUACCCCACUCUGUGGUCCCUGUGACCUGGGAGGGGGCUACUGGGCUUCAAAACACUUGAAGGUGAGUGCUGGUGCAUUUUUUUUCAAACGCUGAGCAAGAAGCAUUGCUCUCCAGCAGAAGCCUGGAGAAGUGACUCCAGUAGGAAGCUGCUGCACACUGGGCUCUUCUCAAGAUGGGAGAUGCCUUCCUAGAGCCCUGCUUCGUCUGCCUGAGGGUUGUCCUGACCAGGUUGUCCUGAUCACUAGGCUAGAGCCUGCUUUGUGGAAAAAGGGGGUGUGCAAGAUGAUGGCUUGAUCCUUCUUGCUGGGAGUGUGUCACACUGCACACACUAACUCACUGUUGAGCCAGAGAUGUGCCUCUGCAGCCUGGUGGCUCGGAGUCUCACAUGAGGGACAGAGGUGUCGGUUUCAGUGACUGCUUCAGGCCCUGAGACAGGGCUGGGAGGAGUGGUGGGGAAAAAAAAAUUGCAUUUUAGCCCAAGUCCGUAUGGCAAAUCCCAGGGUUCUUGUAUUUGGUGCAGUUCUGUCUCAGCUAAAGUAGAGAUGGGCUCAAAACGAAAGGCAAGAAGAGUUGUGAGGGGAGC
rnacentral:lncRNA from 1 species